rnacentral:rRNA from 1 species
GACGAACGCUGGCGGCGUGCUUAACACAUGCAAGUCGAACGGGGUCCAGUCUGUAGCAAUACAGAGGAAGACCUAGUGGCGAACGGGUGAGGAACACGCGAGGAAUCUGUCCCGAACUCUGGGAUAACAGUUGGAAACGACUGCUAAUACCGGAUGCCGUCAUUGGAUCGCAUGAUUCGAUGACGAAAGAAUUUCGGUUCGGAAGGAUCUCGCGGCCUAUCAGCUUUGUGGUGGGGUAAUGGCCUACCAAGGCAUCGACGGGUAGCUGGUCUCAGAGGAUGAUCAGACACACGAGAACUGAGACACGGCCCAGACUCCUACGGGAGGAAGCAGUGGGGAAAGUUGCGCACUGGGCGAAAGCCUGACGCAGCAACGCCGCUUGCGGGAAGAAGGCCUUCGGGGCGUAAACAGCUUUCAGCAGGAACGAAAAUGACGGUACCUGCAGAAGAAGGUGCGGCCAACUACGUGCCAGCCGCCGCCGUAA